CCAGCACUCUCACUGAAUCAUCACCAGAUCUUCUUCUAACCCAAGUUGUUCUUGUGCAUUAUAGUAUUUGACGUAUGCUUACCUGGUGUUUUCUCCCUGUGGUUUUCAGGAAAGGAAACUUCCGGUUCAUUUUUUCACUCUCAAAAAUACUCAUCUCUUCUGGACACUGGUCUGAUCAGUAAUCAUGGUCACAGCCCAAGUUCUGUUGGAUAUCCAUUUAUCUACCUGCCUCCCUGCCGCUGCUCAAAGGAUUCACGGAAAAUACUCCGUCUGGAUCCUCGGCUUCUCACCCGGACCACUUCAACUGCCUUCACCUCACACCAGCCUCCACCUGCAAAACUUUGCCACUGACCUCCCCUGCCUGAGCCACAAACCGCUCCCUGAGUCUCCCUAGCUCCUGUUAUGACGAUUCACAGCCCCAUUGGUUUUCACAGCUCAUAGUUCACGUUUCUAUUUCAUAGCUCAUAGUUCAUGUUUCUGCUUCAUAGUUCAUAGUUCAUAGUUCAUGUUCACUGCUCAUGUUCGGAUGUAUUGCUUGUGUUCUAAAUUAUCUAGUUCACAGCCAUUAUAUUCUGUCAAAGUCACUUGUAAAUAAAAGCUUUGUUAUCAUG